GACGAACGCUGGCGGCGUGCUUAACACAUGCAAGUCGAACGGAAAGGCCCUGCUUUUGUGGGGUGCUCGAGUGGCGAACGGGUGAGUAACACGUGAGUAACCUGCCCUUGACUUUGGGAUAACUUCAGGAAACUGGGGCUAAUACCGGAUAGGAGCUCCUGCUGCAUGGUGGGGGUUGGAAAGUUUCGGCGGUUGGGGAUGGACUCGCGGCUUAUCAGCUUGUUGGUGGGGUAGUGGCUUACCAAGGCUUUGACGGGUAGCCGGCCUGAGAGGGUGACCGGACACAUUGGGACUGAGAUACGGCCAAGACUCCUACGGGAGGCAGCAGUGGGGAAUAUUGCACAAUGGGCGGAAGCCUGAUGCAGCAACGCCGCGUGCGGGAUGACGGCCUUCGGGUUGUAAACCGCUUUCGCCUGUGACGAAGCGUGAGUGACGGUAAUGGGUAAAGAAGCACCGGCUAACUACGUG
rnacentral:rRNA from 1 species